GCGGUGGAGCAUGUGGUUUAAUUCGAAGCAACGCGAAGAACCUUACCAGGUCUUGACAUCCCGAUGCUAUUUCUAGAGAUAGAAAGUUACUUCGGUACAUCGGUGACAGGUGGUGCAUGGUUGUCGUCAGCUCGUGUCGUGAGAUGUUGGGUUAAGUCCCGCAACGAGCGCAACCCCUAUUGUUAGUUGCCAUCAUUCAGUUGGGCACUCUAGCGAGACUGCCGGUAAUAAACCGGAGGAAGGUGGGGAUGACGUCAAAUCAUCAUGCCCCUUAUGACCUGGGCUACACACGUGCUACAAUGGUUGGUACAACGAGUUGCGAGUCGGUGACGGCGAGCUAAUCUCUUAAAGCCAAUCUCAGUUCGGAUUGUAGGCUGCAACUCGCCUACAUGAAGUCGGAAUCGCUAGUAAUCGCGGAUCAGCACGCCGCGGUCGAAUACGUUCCCGGGCCUU
rnacentral:rRNA from 1 species